rnacentral:rRNA from 1 species
UGGCGACAACAGCGCGGUGGUCCCACCUGACCCCAUGCCGAACUCAGAAGUGAAACGCCGUAGCGCCGAUGGUAGUGUGGGGUCUCCCCAUGUGAGAGUAGGGAACUGCCAGGCA